rnacentral:rRNA from 1 species
CUGGCGGUAUGCUUACACAUGCAAGUCGAACGGGAAUCUUCGGAUUUUAGUGGCGGACGGGUGAGUAACGCGUAAGAAUCUAGCUUCAGGUUCGGGACAACAGUUGGAAACGACUGCUAAUACCGGAUGUGCCCACGGGUAAAAGGCUUGCCGCCUGAAGAAGAGCUUGCGUCCGAUUAGUUAGUUGGUGGGGUAAAGGCCUACCAAGACAGCGAUCGGUAGCUGGUCUGAGAGGAUGACCAGCCACACUGGGACUGAGACAAGGCCCAGACUCCUACGGGAGGCAGCAGUGGGGAAUUUUCCGCAAUGGGCGAAAGCCUGACGGAGCAAUACCGCGUGAGGGAAGAAGGCUCUUGGGUUGUAAACCUCUUUUCUCAGGGAAUAAAAAAAUGAAGGUACCUGAGGAAUAAGCAUCGGCUAACUCCGUGCCAGCAGCCGCGGUAAUACGGAGGAUGCAAGCGUUAUCCGGAAUGAUUGGGCGUAAAGCGUCCGCAGGUGGUACAACAAGUCUAGUGUCAAAGACCGGAGCUCAACUCCGGGUCGGCGGUGGAAACUGUUGAACUAGAGGGUCGUAGGGGUAGAGGGAAUUCCCAGUGUAGCGGUGAAAUGCGUAGAGAUUGGGAAGAACAUCGGUGGCGAAGGCGCUCUACUGGACGGCACCUGACACUCAGGGACGAAAGCUAGGGGAGCGAAUGGGAUUAGAUACCCCAGUAGUCCUAGCCGUAAACGAUGGAUACUAGGUGUGGCUUGUAACAAAACGAGCCGUGCCGUAGCUAACGCGUUAAGUAUCCCGCCUGGGGA